rnacentral:rRNA from 1 species
AGAGAGAGACAUGCGCGCAUAUCAAUAAGCGGAGGAAAAGAAACUAACAAGGAUUCCCUUAGUAACGGCGAGUGAAGCGGGAAGAGCUCAAAUUUGAAAUCUUCAAGGUUUUACCUUGACGAAUUGUAGUUUAAAGAAGUGUUUUCUGCUGAAGUUUUGGUAAAAGUUCUUUGGAAUAGGACAUCAUAGAGGGAUGAGAAUCCCGUAUUUGACCAUUAUUUUCAGCUUUGUGAUACACUUUCAAAGAGUCGGAUUGUUUGGGAAUGCAGUCCAAAAUGGGUGGUAAAUUUCAUCUAAAGCUAAAUAUUGGCGAGAGACCGAUAGCGAACAAGUACCGUGAGGGAAAGAUGAAAAGAACUUUGAAAAGAGAGUUAAACAGUACGUGAAAUUGUCAAAAGGGAAGCGUUUGACACCAGUGUUGUUUUCUCGAAAAUCAAUUAAAAAUGGCUCGAUUUUGUAUUGUUGAGACCUUAAAAGCUCACUGUACAUUUUUCGUGUCUUUUUUAAUGCACUUUUCGUUUAACAAGUCAACAUCAGUUUCUUUCGUUGUAAAAGGGUCAUUGGAAGGUGGCUUUCUUUUCGGAGAAAGUGUUUAUAGCCUUUGGCCUCUGCAAUCGGAGAGACUGAGGUCUGCAGCGUAGACUCUUCGGGGUUAGAUACAUUUGUGCUAAGUUAUAGCUUUUAUAGACAACUUGUUGACUAUGAUUAGUCAUUGUAGCUUACUCGCUUAUGCUAUUUUACCUACGCUUAGGAUGUUGAGUCGUAGAGCACGCAG